rnacentral:rRNA from 1 species
UGCCAGCCGCCGCGGUAAUACGGAGAGUGCGAGCGUUAAUCGGAAUCACUGGGCGUAAAGCGCGCGUAGGUGGAUUCUUAAGUCGAAUGUGAAAGCCCCGGGCUCAACCUGGGAACUGCAUUCGAUACUGGGUUUCUAGAGUAUAGUAGAGGGAAGUGGAAUUUCCGGUGUAGCGGUGAAAUGCGUAGAUAUCGGAAGGAACACCAGUGGCGAAGGCGACUUCCUGGACUAAUACUGACACUGAGGUGCGAAAGCGUGGGUAGCAAACAGGAUUAGAUA